rnacentral:rRNA from 1 species
AGCAGCCGCGGUAAUUCCAGCUCCAAUAGCGUAUAUUAAAGUUGUUGCAGUUAAAAAGCUCGUAGUUGAACUUCGGGAUCAAUGGAUCGGUCAUGCCAUCGGUAUGUACUGGUCUCAUUGGUUCUCACCUUCUAAGGAACCAUAAUGUCAUUCAUUUGAUGUUUUGGGGAAUUAGGACUGUUACCUUGAAAAAAUUAGAGUAGUUUAAAGCAGGCUAACGCUUGAAUAAAUUAGCAUGGAAUAAUGAAAUAGGACAUCGCAUUCUAUUUUGUUGGUUUCUAGGAUCGAUGUAAUGAUUAAUAGGGAUAGUUGGGGGCAUUAGUAUUCAAUUGUCAGAGGUGAAAUUCUUGGAUUUAUUGAAGACUAACUACUGCGAAAGCAUUUGCCUAAGGAUGUUUUCAUUAAUCAAGAACGAAAGUUAGGGGAUCGAAGACGAUCAGAUACCGUCGUAGUCUUAACCAUAAACCUAAUGCCGACUAGGGAUCGGAUGAUGUUGAUUUUUUAAUGUACU